CCUACGAUCGAUGCCUCGUGCCCAAAAAACCCUACGAUCGAUGCCUCGUGCCCACAGCAGAUCGUUCUCCGCCGCCAACCAGCCCUUCGCACACCCGAUCCACCCCUUCGCCCCCGCCGGACAUCCAUCCCUGUGCCGCGGCCGAUCCUAUCCUUCGCCGUCGCCCUCGCACAUCACAGCCGCCGCCCGUCCAUCGUACGAUCUGCUUCAGGAUCGCUUCACGAGACGGCGCCGCGAUCCCGUUUAGGAGACGCCGGCGAUCACGCCCAGGAUCCGACGGCGAUCCCCUUCUGGACAGGCACAUCCUCUCGAACGCACAACUUGCAUUCGUCCCUGCGCUACUUUCGUCCCUUCGUCGCCGCCCUCCCAUCGAUCUGCCGCCGAUCCCUGCGGAGCUUCCCUCCCCAAUCCGAUCUGACGGAGAGAGUGCCAGAUCCGGCCGGGGGAGCCGCCGUAGAGCCUCCACGUCGGUGGAGCAGCACCUCCUGCCACGGGUGCCGCCGCCACCUCCUGCCUCACGACCCUUUGCCGCGACUCCGCCCCCAAGCGCCGCUCCCGCACGCAACCCUAACCCUAUCCCGCCAUGCCUCGCUACCUCGCCGCUUGAGCCGCGCUGAUGGAGCCCGAGCAGCGGUGGUCGACCCCGUCGCCGCCGCCGAGCCUGUGGAUGAGGAGAAGGAAAAGGAGGAGGAGACGGAGGCGGCCGAGGACUAGGAGGACACGCUGCUGGACCGCGCGCAGCCUGAUCUCACGGGUCCCUUUGCACAUGUGCAGUUCGUCAAUGGACCAAUGCCUAAUCUCCCCAAGGUUGAUGUUUCACUGGACCCGGUGAAGGAGUUGAGCAGAGUAAUAUCUGAGCGAAAAAAUUGAGGGGCGUGCUUUGGUUGUGCUCUCAGCCAGGUUAUUUUACGAGGGUUGUGUGCACUGAACCCCAUUUCUCUGGACCAAGGGACGAUGAACAAGAUGGGAAUGAGGAGGAUGCGACCUAUAGAUGGUUGCUAUGGAUCAGGAGGUUAACUAAUACAUGCAUCAGCUUUGUAUCAUAAAGAUUUCACCAUCCCAAGGUAAUGGAAAUAAGUUCACAAGAUUCUCAUGUUGAGGUCUGUACAAAGAGAUACAAGGCAAUGUCUGUGUGCUGGAACGAGAAACUCACUGCCAAAGCUAUAAUCCCUGAUGCUAAAGCCUGCAUGUUCAGAUCUGCUGAGUUUACUCAUAUUAAUAAUGAUUAAUACAGAGGGAGCCCUUUUGUCAGGUCAUUUAAUCAUUUAAUCAUAGGUACAUUAUCUCAGGUAACUUACUACUACCUUUGUUCAAAAAUAAGUGACGUUAACUUAGUACACCUUUGCACUAAAAUUGUACUAAAUCCGUGACACUUAUUUUGGGACAGAGGGAGUAUUUCAUUUUCUACCUGAACCAAGUUGUUAUUUCAUUUCUAAGAGGCAAAGAGUUCCUCCUGGUUAGUUUGCCACAUUUUAUAUGUCUAUCUAUGUGCAUUACUAAUUCACUAUAUGCACCUUUAGUUCCCAGUUUUGGCUCACUUUCUUGAUGCAUCUUGGAUGAGAGGAAAGGAAUGGAUAAUCUGACAAGCAAUGUUCGGGCAUACCCUUAUAUUUACGUCUGAUGAAAUGCUGCGGGUGCAAAAUAAUCAAGACUGCUGCCAUGAGCAAAAGAGCAGACAUUACUUAUGAGAAAACAAUAAAAGAAUCUUCCGUGACUACAUACCACGACGAGUCAAAGACAAUGAAAGCACUACUCCAUUGGUGGUGUUAGCAAGUGGAGUCUGGAGGGAGAACAACACAAAGUAGGAAAUUGAUUCCCUCGCCCUCGCUUGCUUCAACGACCCUGCCCGUCUUGGUGGGGUCGAUUCCCCCAUCGCCCGACUCAUCUCCGACGAGUAUGGCGUCAGUGGGUACGCCCCGCCAUUCGUAUGCUUGGCGGGUCCCAGAACACCCGUGACGUGUAUGAGCUUGACUAGGGCGAGGGGCUCGUGCUCGUGCUCGAGCUCGACAAGACGCACUUCGAUCUCGUCACCAACUACGAGCUGGACUGUGAGACUCCAGAGCAGGCGGGGGUGACGAAGACGAAAGUGGGGGCAGUUCGAGCUUGUCGCUGCCGGAGACCCUGGAGAGGUGCGCGAAGAGACCUGGUUAGAUUUGUUGGCCACCACUGGUAAACUGCACUAAUAACAAAUCGGAUGUCAUCUCUCAUGUUGCGGAUUCAACCCUGGACGAUGUUGCGUGGCCUGCGGCCAUGGACGAUGUGCUGUUGGACAACGACACAAGGCCGAGGC